rnacentral:rRNA from 1 species
UACGGGGGGGGCGAGCGUUGUUCGGAAUUACUGGGCGUAAAGGGCGCGUAGGCGGCCUUCUAAGUCGAACGUGAAAUCCCUCGGCUUAACCGAGGAACUGCCUGUCAGACUGGAAGGCUUGAGACCGGGAGAGGUGAGUGGAAUUCCCAGUGUAGCGGUGAAAUGCGUAGAUAUUGGGAGGAACACCAGUGGCGAAGGCGGCUCACUGGACCGGAACUGACGCUGAGGCGCGAAAGCGUGGGGAGCAAACAGG